rnacentral:rRNA from 1 species
GGAUUAGAUACCCUGGUAGUCCUAGCCGUAAACGAUGGGCACUGGGUAAAGGAGAUGUCGAUCUUCUUUGCCGUAGCUAAUGUGUUAAGUGCCCCGCCUGGGGAGUACGGUCGCAAGAUUAAAACUCAAAGGAAUUGACGGGGGCUCACACAAGCGGUGGAGCAUGUGGUUUAAUUCGAAGCAACGCGAAGAACCUUACCCGGGUUUGAAAUCCAUGGAUGGUGCCUGUGAAAGCAGGAUUUCCUGCCCUUUGGGUGAAACAUGGACAGGUGUUGCAUGGCUGUCGUCAGCUCGUGCCG